ACAUGCAUAUAACAUAAUGUUAAUGCAUCGGUCCCAUUAGAACUCUGCAGUUAAGCAUUCUCAGGCUAGAGUAUUACUAGGAUGGGUGACUGCCCAGGAAGCCCUAGUGUUUUACAUGUC
rfam:Picea glauca, whole genome shotgun sequence.